AAGGAGAGAAACCCAAGGAGCUCAAGAAGACUUUGCCCAUUAGUCUGCUGGUACCAGUAGAUUUUGUCUUGGCUUUUGUCAUUGUGACUGCAAGUGAUGUUCAAAGCCUCUCCUGUGACUAAGAGAAGAUAGAGUGUGGUUGCACCAGACCCCUCGCUUCAGAUGGCCCUGCGCCAAUAGCCCCCCACCCCCCGGCAAUCGCUACCAAGGGGGACUUCCAAAGAUGGCAAUCACUACUGAGGGGGACUUCCAAAGAAGGCGAUCACUACCACCGCGGGGAUCCCAGAUUGUGAUCGCUACUGAUGGGGACAGGGACAUAAUUAUUUCAACCACUAGUUGGCGUGGCAUCUUCUCCAUUACUGUGAAUUUGUAAAGGAUGGGCAAGGAAGAGGCGGGAACUGGCUGAACAAUCAACAUAAACAUUUAAUGCAUAAAUGAACUUAAAAAAUUAACUUAAACAAACAUAAACAGACACACAUGCAACACGGCUGUGUCCGUCUCUCUCUCUUGAACUGGCGUCUCUGGCUGCCCCUUAUCUCACUCUCCUGCUGAUAAGCUGAUUCAGCGCCGGCCGUGCUCCAUCACAGCCCGGCCACGCCCUCCUCCUCAUCACAGUUUCUACACCUUGUUGUUUAUAAUGAGAUCAUUCAUGAGAGUGCAGCAGCAGGACAGUCUGUGAGUGUGCGCUGGGUGGAUUUCUUCUGUGCCGGUGACUAACCGUACUUUUCCACUGGUGCGUUUUGAGUGAAGGUGAGCAAGCAUUUUUAAUAAAUUCUUAUGGAAGUCUAGCGCCAUGCUUGCAAGGUGCAUAGUGGGAUUGACAGCGGUGCAGAGAAAGUGCUGAGGGCGGUUGAGAGCAUCAAAAAGUUUCGAUUUCUCGGCUUUAUUCAAAUGAGGAACAAAAAAACGGCAGGCGGCAGCCAGUCACUGUGAGCAGAAGCAGUGACAUCUGUCAUAAGCACUUAAAAUAUGCCUUUAAUGCUGGGGUUUCUGCUAGAUUCAGUGCUUUGAUCACAUCAUCAUGUAUGUUUCUGACUUCAGACAGACUUCUAAUGAUGAUUGGCUGGGUAAGCAAAAUUUUAAUAAAUCAACAAUGUUUGUGCAUUGUGGGCAUUCGAAAACUAAGCUGGCACCUUUCCAACUGUAAUCGUGCAUUUAUAAGAUAUUUUCUGCGCCACUGGAAACAUAUAUACCUCUGAUUGGCCGUUGCAUUCAUGCUCUCAAAAGACAUAUAAACAUUGUUAUUUUGUUAUAUUAAUAACGCAUAUGAAACACAGUUAUUUAAUAAAGUUUACUUUACUUUCUUAUUUACACUUUUCUUU